rnacentral:rRNA from 1 species
CCUACGGGAGGCAGCAGUGAGGAAUAUUGGUCAAUGGACGAGAGUCUGAACCAGCCAAGUAGCGUGAAGGAUGACUGCCCUAUGGGUUGUAAACUUCUUUUAUAUGGGAAUAAAAUGUUCCACGUGUGGGAUUUUGUAUGUACCAUAUGAAUAAGGAUCGGCUAACUCCGUGCCAGCAGCCGCGGUAAUACGGAGGAUCCGAGCGUUAUCCGGAUUUAUUGGGUUUAAAGGGAGCGUAGGGGGAUUGUUAAGUCAGUGGUGAAAGUUUGCGGCUCAACCGUAAAAUUGCAGUUGAAACUGGCAGUCUUGAGUACAGUAGAGGUGUGCGGAAUUCGUGGUGUAGCGGUGAAAUGCAUAGAUAUCACGAAGAACUCCGAUUGCGAAGGCAGUUCACUGGACUGCAACUGACACUGAGGCUCGAAAGUGUGGGUAUCAAACAGGAUUAGAUACCCGGGUAGUC